UGUAUUCAAUGUUACCAAACUCAAUGUUGCAGUGCCCGUCUUUGGUGACCAGGCGAGAUUUGCGGCUUCGGUGUCCAGCUGGCUGCAUGUGACCCUGGAGCACCUGGAACAUCCUGGAGCUUUACAGAGCAAACGGAAGCACGGAAUGACUCCCAUCGAGAUGGCCUUCCUCCUGAAGGCGUUCAGCAGAGUCCAGGGGUCAAACCAGCCCUCGUUCUCCAACCCUGGGAGUCAGGACAAAAGUAGGCGACGGACCAGCCCAUCACACCGCCUCCUACGAUCACUACGUCGGCCCUCUCCGGCGGAAGGUCCGGGUUGAUCUGCAGGGGAGACCAGCUGCUGCCGGGCAGCGCGUCUGACGCCUUCUUCCUCAUAGCUGC